UACGGAGGUGGCAAGCGUUGCUCGGAAUCACUGGGCGUAAAGGGCGCGUAGGCGGGGAGGUAAGUCGGGUGUGAAAUCCCUCGGCCCAACUGAGGAACUGCGCCCGAGACUGCUUUUCUUGAGUCCCGGAGAGGAAGAUGGAAUUCCCGGUGUAGCGGUGAAAUGUGUAGAGAUCGGGAGGAACACCGGUGGCGAAGGCGGUCUUCUGGACGGUGACUGACGCUGAGGCGCGAAAGCGUGGGGAGCAAACGGG
rnacentral:rRNA from 1 species